rnacentral:rRNA from 2 species
GGACUACUGGGGUAUCUAAUCCUGUUUGCUACCCACGCUUUCGAAUCUCAGUGUCAAUAUUAUGCCAGGAAGCUGCCUUCGCCAUCGGUAUUCCUCCAGAUCUCUACGCAUUUCACCGCUACACCUGGAAUUCUACUUCCCUCUCACAUAUUCUAGCACCACCAGUAUCACAUGCAGUUCCCAGGUUAAGCCCGGGGAUUUCACAUGUGACUUAAUGAGCCACCUACACUCGCUUUACGCCCAGUAAUUCCGAUUAACGCUCGCACCCUCUGUAUUACCGCGGCUGCUGGCAC